UACGUAGGUGACAAGCGUUGUCCGGAUUUACUGGGCGUAAAGAGCGCGCAGGCGGUCGAUCAAGUCGAGUGUGAAAGCCCCCGGCUCAACUGGGGAGGGUCAUUCGAUACUGAUCGACUCGAAGGCAGGAGAGGGUAGUGGAAUUCCCGGUGUAGUGGUGAAAUGCGUAGAGAUCGACAAGAACACCGGUGGCGAAGGCGGGUCUCUGGACAGUUCCUGACGCUGAGGGACGAAAGCUAGGGGAGCAAACGGG
rnacentral:rRNA from 1 species